rnacentral:rRNA from 1 species
AGAGUUUGAUCCUGGCUCAGAAUCAACGCUGGCGGCGUGCCUAACACAUGCAAGUCGAGCGAGAAAAGGGGGGCAACUCCCUGAGUAAAGCGGCGCACGGGUGAGUAACACGUGGGUAAUCUGCCCUGAAGUGGGGAAUAACACCGGGAAACCGGUGCUAAUACCGCAUACGAUCACGGAGUCUGCGGAUUUUGUGAUGAAAGGAGCAAUUCGCUUUAGGAGGAGCCCGCGGCUGAUUAGCUAGUUGGUGAGGUAAUGGCUCACCAAGGCUACGAUCAGUAUCCGGUCUGAGAGGACGGUCGGACACACUGGAACUGAGACACGGUCCAGACUCCUACGGGAGGCAGCAGUGGGGAAUUUUUCGCAAUGGGGGCAACCCUGACGAAGCAACGCCGCGUGGGUGAUGAAGUCUCUUGGGACGUAAAACCCUUUCGACGGGGAAGAAACCGCAAGGUUGACGGUACCCGUAGAAGAAGCCCCGGCUAACUCCGUGCCAGCAGCCGCGGUAAUACGGGGGGGGCAAGCGUUGUUCGGAAUUACUGGGCGUAAAGGGUGCGUAGGCGGUUCGUUAAGUUAGAUGUGAAAACUCUGGGCUC